rnacentral:rRNA from 1 species
AUUGAACGCUGGCGGCAGGCCUAACACAUGCAAGUCGAGCGAGCGGCGGACGGGUGAGUAAUGUAUGGGGACUGCCCGAUAGAGGGGGAUAACUACUGGCAACGGUAUCUAAUACCGCAUACUAUCGGAUAACCCAUAUGGGAUUAGCUCGUAGGUGAGGUAAUGGCUUACCUAGGCGACGAUCCCUAGCGGGUCUGUGAGGAUGAUCAGCAACACUGGGACUGAGACACGGCCCAGACUCCUACGGAGGCAGCAGUGGGGAAUAUUGCACAAGGGGAGCAAGCCGGAUGCAGCCAUGCCGCGUGUAUGAAGAAGGCCGUAGGGGUGUAAAGUACUUUCAGUGGGGAGGCGUUACCGACAGAAGAAGCACCGGCUAACUCCGUGCAAGCAGACGCGGUAAUAC